GUGGGAGGGGGCUUGCCCCCGAUGGCAGCGGGUCAGUCAACAUUUAUGUCAAUGACACACCGCUAUCGGGGGCAAGCCCCCUCCCAC
rnacentral:misc_RNA from 1 species